ensembl:lincRNA
CUCAAAAACAACAGCGGAGGCGCCGCCAGCUCUGCGCACCGCCACUGCCCAGGCCGGCGGGCGGCACUCGGACCCACCGCCCUCGGUCCCUCGCGAGGCCGCGGAGGCCAACACGCCUCGCAAGGGGGGACAGCGCGGGGGCGGCCGUCCAAACACCAGGCGUCCUCGGCUGGUUGUCCCAGGGCGCCCGCACCUCUCCGUCCGCGCCCUCCUGCCGCCGCGCCCCCCAGGUGAGUACCCCGCUGCGCGAGCGCCCGAGCUGGGCCACCUUCGGGGACCUGGACCUCUGGGGACACUCCCCUCUGGCCUCUCCGGGCCCAGGUGCGUAGGGGGCGGAAGGGCCGGCGGCGCAGGUGGAGCAGCGCGGAUAGGAGCCGACCAGACGCUUCCUCUUCCCCUGCAGCCCCCAAACUCCGAGGCGCUGCGGCGGAGGGGCCGGGCUAAGCGCAGGCAGGGUGGCCCCGGCCCAGGAACCUGACGGUCCAAGUGCGGAUUUCUCAUCUGAGUAUCUGGGAAUCGAGAAUGAAUUGGAAGAAAACCGAGGCGCUGCCCUGGCCGGGUUGCUCCCCCGCACCCUUCCGGAGCACCGAGGUCCUGCCCGGGAACGGGACUUGGAGCUGCCGCAGAGUCAGCCUGAGCCCGAGGCAGGGGUCGCGCCCGCGAUGUGGGGUCUCUCCGCCGCCCCGCGAGGCUCCUGGCCGUGCCCUCCCUGCCCUUUGUUGUGUAAUGAGACCUGUGGCGGCUCCACUGAGACCCACACGUGGAACUCCGCGCCUCCGCGUUAAAGGAGGUGAAACGCAGCAGCCCUGAGAAAUCCGAGACCCCGGUGUCCUAGCAGAGGCGCCCCGGAUGGGGAAGGGCGUGCGGCCGGCGCUACCCCAGAGGAAAAGCCCAGCGGAGCGGGGCUGGGCGGGAGCCGGCGGCGGCGGUGAGCUGGGCCUUCUGACUUGGAUCCUCCGUAGUCGGCACCACUUCCCUGCUCAGAUUCGAACCCAGAUGCGGCUCCCAUGGCUCCAGGGUGCCCAGUCUUGCAGCCAGCUCGCCGCCCGAACCCUGGAUGGAAGAAGCGCUCACUGGCCGCUACCUCUGCUGUUUCUGGCACCAGAUGGGCAGCUUCCGGGGACCGGCUUGCCAUCAGCAGGCACGAUGCUGUGGCCAUCCCAGUGGAACCCCUCUGCCCGGCGUUGUGUCCUGGCAUCCCCACCAGGGUGCCCCGCUGUCCUGCGCAGAUGUCAGGAGUAUCUGGAUGCCCCAUGGGCACUUCAACGGCCCAAUUCGGAGUUUUUUGUUUUGUUUUGUUUUAAGAGAUUGAGACUGUGAACCUGAACUCCCUUGAUCUCCUCCCGUUGGGCCCAGGAGGGAGCCUAAUCCAGGCCCAACCGGGCUCACUGAGAAGGUGCAGGAAGGCCCCAACGACUCCUACUCGUGUGCGGCCCUUACUGGGCCGGGACGCUGUAGUGGUCGAGCCGCUGGGUGUCUGCAACCGGGAGCUCCCCCGCCGCUGGGAGCAAUAAACGGAAUCGGUUUCCCACGCUUUCCCUCUUGAUCUCAGAACCUUUAAAAAUCCGCCAACGAAUGUCGUUGCCUGGAUGCGCUGCGUGUGACCUUCAGCCGUGUGUUCACGCGUACCCGCAGCCGUGGAGUGGCGGUCCCUUCCUGCCGCCGCAACCCCGGGGCCGCCGGUCUGCGCACACCGGCAGCAACUUCGUUACCCACAGCGCCCGCGUCCUGCGGCUCGCGCGGAACUGCGCGCGGAAAGGUGGCAGAGGGACCGCUCCAGAACGCUGCUCGCGUAGACGCUGCCUCUGCCUUCAGAUCCCAGUUCGGCCGCGCGCGGGCGGGGCCCUGGCAGCAACGAAAAUGGCGAGUCUCGUAGCCUUCCGGGCCUGAUGGCCGCAUUCCGGGAGUCGCCAGGUGGGAGUCCGCCUUCCGCGUCCCCAAACGCCCAGAGCCCGGGACACGGGCCGGCGGCCGGGUGACCAAGCCGGUUCCCCGCAUCGGCUUGCGCCAGAAUCCAUAUUCGGCUUGCAAGGCCCCCUCCGGCCGUCUCUCCGCAGAGCGCCCUGCCCCACACUGCCGGCCCUCUUAGCUUGAAAACCAAAUUUUGCCUUUGAUCCUGAGAGAUUGAUACCCCACAGGUGAAACCGUGGAGACGGAGCUGCGGUGGGUUUCUUCUCUACUCCUCAGUUUCCCCGUCUGUGAAAUGGGACCCGGCGCGCCUGUGCUCCUCCGGGAGUUUAUUGCAGGGCUGGCUGGAGAGAAUGGCUGGGUGGAAGCCGCCAGGUGGAGGCCCACGGUCGCCCACCCCGUGGGCCUCGUUUGCUGGGCGGGGGUCAAAGGCUUGCGAGGCAGGGAUCGCCCCAAGGAGGCUCUGGAGCCGGCCCUGUCCGUCCCUGUCUCCUCCCCUCGCUCCCCUUCCCCCGGCCUUCCCGGAACUCUCUUCGCCCGCUGGGUGGAGGAGGGGCGAGGGCCGGCUCAGCCGUCCCCGGGGUCGCUCUCCUCCCACCCCCACCGCAGAAUCUGGCCCGCCCUGGGCUUUCCUCUCAGGUCCCUUUGCGUCUCCAGAAACCCGGAGGUUUCGCGCAGACUCGAGCCUGAGAUGGCAUCAUCCAGCACCCCAAAUCCUGCGGAGGGCGGAGGGGAUUUGGGGGAGAAGGCAGGG